rnacentral:misc_RNA from 1 species
CCUGCCGUUAUAUUUUUCAUCUGGCCUUGAUGUUGCCGAAACUGCAAUCUCAUGGAUACCAGAUAAUGAAGCUCUCUGAGAUCUUGGCAAAUGUUGUACACUUAUCCAAUAGUUGAUAGAUGCUGUCAUUAUUCACAACAUAUUAUGCCUCUGCAAAUAAAUGACAUAUACAUUAAUUAAGGAGAGGAUUGCACCUCUGUCUGGCAUGGCACACAGAGAUUCUUGGAUUUGAUUUUAAGCAACUUAAUUAUAAAAU